rnacentral:rRNA from 1 species
CGAAAGGUGCAAGCGUUACUCGGAAUCACUGGGCGUAAAGCGCACGUAGGCGGACUCGUAGGUCAAUUGUGAAAUACCUGGGCUCAACCCAGGAACUGCAGUUGAAACCGCUUGUCUUGAAUACCUGAGAGGGUGGGGGAAUACCUGGUGGAGAAGUGAAAUUCGUAGAGAUCAGGUGGAACACCGGAGGCGAAGGCGCCUGCCUGGCAGUGUAUUGACGCUGAGGUGCGAAAGUGCGGGGAGCAAACAGGAUUAGAUACCCUGGUAGUCCGCACCGUAAACGAUGGAUACUAGGCGUUCGGAAAGUUAACCCUCUGAGUGCCAAAGUUCACACAUUAAGUAUCCCGCCUGGGAAGUACGGUCGCAAGACUA